CCGAUUGAAUGAUUUAGUGAGGUCUUCGGACUGGCGCUCGGAGCGGCCGAAAGGUCGCGCCGGCGUGCCGGAAAGAUGACCAAACUUGAUCAUUUAGAGGAAGUAAAAGUCGUAACAAGGUUUCCGUAGGUGAACCUGCGGAAGGAUCAUUACCGACGGAAUCUCGCUGAAUCGAGAAUGCCGUUCCACAGUCCAAAACUGUGUCUCAUUCCUCCGUCUAGUGUGACGGAUGGAGUAUUCGAACGUACCUCUUCCUAGGGGUUCGGUUGUGGGGGUACCUGUUCCCUGCGGACAGAUAGUCCGCAGGGAGUGCCUCAACUUGAGGUGCCAGGUUCAAAGAGAGGCCACUUGAUCUGUAUAGUGUCCUCCGCCCUCCCGAGAACCCCUCGGAGCACGUAGCGUGGAGUUUGGGGCAGCGAAGGGCCCUCGACCGUUCCGUGUCUGUGAACGGUCGGCUCCGUGUGGCGUGUUAAAAUAAGCGUUUUUGAUUAUCCUUCGCACUCUUCUCCAAAGAGAAGGGUUGGUUUGUUCUUUCUAUUAAGAUAUUCCACCGUUGUUUAUAUGAUGGUGGAGAAAAAAAUCUUUGAAAGUAUAACUCUGAGCAGUGGAUCACUCGGCUCACGGGUCGAUGAAGAACGCAGCCAGCUGCGAGACUUGGUGUGAAUUGCAGGACACAUUGAGCACUGAUUUUUCGAACGCACAUUGCGGCCUCGGUUCCUACCCGGGGCCUCGCCUGUCUGAGGGUCGGAUGAGACUUACCGAAGGGGAAUCCUUCCCCUACUUGGUCGUACCGGGUUCUUCCCGCCGACCUAAGAGUGAGACCUCGUCUCCGAAUUUCGCCAUUUGAGUUCGGCGGCCGACGGCCGUGGAAUUCGCGAGUUCUCAAAAACGAACCGCCUGCCAUUGGUGUGUCGACUCGAAGAAGCGAAAGGAAAUACUGUCGACCUCAGAUCAGACGAGAUGACCCGCUGAAUUUAA
rnacentral:rRNA from 1 species